rnacentral:rRNA from 1 species
UCUUUUAAUUGAGGACUGGAAUGAAGGAGUAAACCGGGAGAAUAUUUUUUGAAUUAAAAAAAUGAAGUUCAUUUUUUAGUAAAAAAGCUAAAAUGUUUCUUUUAGACGAGAAGACCCUAUAAAACUUUAUAUUUUUAUUAUUGGGAGAAAGAUAAAGAAAUAUUUUACUGGGGCGGUAAGGAAAAGAGCUUUCCUUUAAAAAUAGAACGGACAUGUUUUUAUACCUAGAAAUUCUAAAAUAGAAAUAAGUUACUUUAGGGAUAACAGCUUUAUACACUUUGAAAGAUCAAAUUGACAAGUGAGUUUAUGACCUCGAUG